rnacentral:rRNA from 1 species
UACGUAGGGGGCAAGCGUUGUCCGGAUUUAUUGGGCGUAAAGAGCUCGUAGGCGGUUCGGUAAGUCGGGUGUGAAACCUCCAGGCUCAACCUGGAGUCGCCACUCGAUACUGCUGUGACUAGAGUCCGGUAGGGGAGCGUGGAAUUCCUGGUGUAGCGGUGAAAUGCGCAGAUAUCAGGAGGAACACCAGCGGCGAAGGCGGCGCUCUGGGCCGGUACUGACGCUGAGGUGCGAAAGCGUGGGGAGCAAACAGG